CCAGCAGCCGCGGUAACUCCAGCUCCAAUAGCGUAUAUUAAAGUUGCUGCAGUUAAAAAGCUCGUAGUUGGAUCUCGGUAGCACUGUUGCUCGACAGUACUCUGGCAGUUGACUAUGCACGCAUGGCCACACAUGGUCCGUGUUGGGUGUGGUUUGAUUGUCUGAGCUGUCGGUGUGACGGUGUCGCCUUUCAGCCAUGUCUGUGGUGAAAUACCCUCAGGUGUAGGCGAGUGUCGGAUGUUGCCUAGCGUUAGUUGGGCACGUCGGCUCGUCUGCAUGCCUUUGGAUGCCCUUUAAAAGGUGUCUGUUGGCGGAUGGCACGUUUACUUUGAACAAAUUUGAGUGCUCAAACCAGGCCGAUGUUGCCUGAAAAGUUUUGCAUGGAAUAAUGGAAUAGGACUUCGGUUCUAUUUCGUUGGUUUUCGGAUCCGAAGUAAUGAUCAAAAGAGACAGGCGGGGG
rnacentral:rRNA from 1 species